AGCAGUAGCCGCGGGAAUACGUAGGUGGCAAGCGUUGUCCGGAAUUAUUGGGCGUAAAGCGCGCGCAGGCGGAUAGGUCUGUCCGUCUUAAAAGUUCGGGGCUUAACCCCGUGAUGGGAUGGAAACUGCCAAUCUAGAGUAUCGGAGAGGAAAGUGGAAUUCCUAGUGUAGCGGUGAAAUGCGUAGAUAUUAGGAAGAACACCAGUGGCGAAGGCGACUUUCUGGACGAAAACUGACGCUGAGGCGCGAAAGCCAGGGGAGCGAACGGGAUUAGAUACCCGUGUAGUCCCUGUCUCUUAUACA
rnacentral:rRNA from 1 species